rnacentral:rRNA from 1 species
AACGUAGGUGGCGAGCGUUAUCCGGAUUUACUGGGCGUAAAGGGCGCGUAGGCGGCCACCGCAAGUCGACUGUGAAAUCUCCGGGCUUAACCCGGAAAGGUCAGCCGAUACUGCGGGGCUAGAGUGCAGAAGGGGCAACUGGAAUUCUCGGUGUAGCGGUGAAAUGCGUAGAUAUCGAGAGGAACACCUGCGGCGAAGGCGGGUUGCUGGGCUGACACUGACGCUGAGGCGCGAAAGCUAGGGGAGCGAACGGG